rnacentral:rRNA from 1 species
UACGAAGGGGGCUAGCGUUGUUCGGAAUUACUGGGCGUAAAGCGCGCGCAGGCGGUUUUUCAAGUCAGUGGUGAAAGCCCGGAGCUCAACUCCGGAACUGCCAUUGAAACUGUAAAACUUGAGGAUGAGAGAGGUGAGUGGAAUUCCCAGUGUAGAGGUGAAAUGCGUAGAUAUCGGGAGGAACACCUGUGGCGAAGGCGGCGCACUGGACCACAUCUGACGCUGAGGCGCGAAAGCUAGGGGAGCAAACAGG